UCUAUGUGCCGGUAAGGAUCUUGCGACGGAGCAAACUGCCAGUAGAAUGGUAAACCUUUUGAGGCAGCUUCAGCAAACUCUACCACCCUCCACACUGGCAUCGACCUGGUCAUCUUUGCAACCGCAACAGCAGCUUGCACUUCAAUCAAUCCUCUCAUCUUAGUGUAAUUGGAAUUGGAAAAACAGGUCAUUCUUUGUUCCAGAUUGUGUCAGAUCCUGAGUUGGUUGCAUCUCUUGAAUGGGUUGGCUGUGUGUUUUCUGGUAUUUUUUCGAAGCGUUUUAAGCCCGAUAAUGUCAUCCCUUUUGCAUUGCAAAGCACAGCAGUCAUCCCUUGAAGAAAGCUGCUGCUGCAGCAUUGGCGUCGCGUGUUUUCCGUCAUCCUGUCUCAUAAUGUAUUAUUUAUUUUUUACGGCUUGUUUAAAAGCAUCGAUUUUGCAUGGUCCAAAGGCGACUAGAUAGAGUUGUUACCGUUUGUGUGUAUAGUACAAAAUUAUUGGUGAACUAGAGUCCCCAUCCCUCAGAAAAAAGAGUGAAGCAAGCAAAAAUAAUGUCGAGUGGUUAUUAUUAUUAUUUUG
rnacentral:misc_RNA from 1 species